CAACGCGUAACUCCUGAUAGUGAGGGGGCGUGUGACUAUCCUAUGCGUUGGCUCUGGAUCUAGAACAGAGGUUUUCCAGCUGUCGGGCGCGCCCUUGCCCCAGGAGGAGUGUUCAGAGCCAUGAAGGACAUCACACCGGACAGUGAUGGGAUCCAUUCUCACCUCAUCUGCAUGGGCCAAUGGCCAGUUUACUAGAAUCAAACAGCUCAACUGCAGCAGCCGAGUCAAAAUGCCCAAGGCUGUGAACACGUUGGACCUGAAAUAUACAGUGUGGUCGAUGUCAACCCAGUGAACAGAAUAGCAGAGCAUCUGAAGGGGCACUGUGAGCCAAAGAAUAUUCAGCCUCAGACAAAAUGAGGAGGGGAAACGAGCUGCUGUACAAGUUGAAAUGCAAAG